rnacentral:rRNA from 1 species
AACGGCCGCGGUACCCUAACCGUGCGAAGGUAGCAUAAUCACUUGUUCUUUAAAUAGGGACUCGUAUCAACGGCAUCACGAGGGCUAUACUGUCUCCUUUCUCCAAUCAGUGAAACUGAUCUUCCCGUGAAGAAGCGGGAAUUAUUAUAUAAGACGAGAAGACCCCAUGGAGCUUUAAACUUAAUAUGUACUUCUACGCACACACAUCAUAUAGCCAAAGAAAUUUAUGUAUUAGUUUUGGGUUGGGGGGACCGCGGAGAAAAAACUAUCCUCCGCAACUAAUAGGCCAACGCCUUUAUCCAUGAACUACACUUCUAAGAAUCAGUAAACUGAUGUUUUAUGACCCAAUUUAAUUGAUCAACGAACCAAGUUACCCUGGGGAUAACAGCGCAAUCUACUUCAAGAGCUCCUAUCGACAAGCAGGUUUACGACCUCGAUGUUGGAUCAGGGUGUCCUAGUCAUGGCCUAGCUAGCCUCCUCAAGCAAAACGAAACUUUUUAGUUUGACACCCCGAAACUAAGCGAGCUACUUCAAAACAGCCUAAAGGGCCAACCCGUCUCUGUUGCAAAAGAGUGGGAAGAUUUUUAAGUAGAAGUGAAAAGCCUACCGAGCUUAGAGAUAGCUGGUUGUUCAGGAAAAGAGUUUUAGCUCUACCUUAAAUUUUAGCGCGACUCAAACGCACCAUUAAAUUUAAGAGCUAUUCAAAUAAGGCACAGCUUAUUUGAAAUAGGGUACAACCUCCAACACCGGGUAAAAGCGGGAGACCUAAACAAAGUGGGCCUAAAAGCAGCCACCUUUUAAAAAGCGUUAAAGCUUAACCAUUAUUCAUCCCCCAAUUCCUUUCUAUCCAUCUAACCCUUCAUUACUACUGAACUGUUUUAUAUUAUUAUAAAAGUAAUUAUGCUAGAACUAGUAACAAGAAAAUGCCUUUCUCCGAAAUGUAAGCAUAAACCAAAAUGGACCUACCAUUGGUAAUUAACGUAAAUGUUUUGUUAUAGUAACAUUCAACCCAGAAAAUCCUAUAAAUACCCACGUUAACCUUACACUAGCACAUUACAGGAAAGAUUAAAAGAGAAGAGACUCGCAACC